GGGGACUUCCGGGGUGGCGCCUCCGGAAAAUGGCGGAAUUCCCUUCGGACUGAAGGGAACCCGCUGCACGGAGGCUUGGGUCCUGCCGCUACGGCGCAGCGGGGACCCGCAAAAACCACAGGCGGAAGAAGCCUGUGGACGUGGGACUCGGCGGGCACCGAGAGCGCCCUCUCCCCUUGUACAGGAGCCCGGUAACGGGCUCCGGAGUGGGAGGUGCGUGGUGCUGUGAGUCGACUGCUUCCUCCGUGCAGCAAAGCCGCACUGCCGUUAUCGGAGAGCGCUGCCUUUUCCUGGACAAUUUGGCAUCUAAAAUAUCUAUCCGUGAGUACCUGAUCUUGGAAGAGUUGAACCACUUUUAAGACUGGUGAAUAAACAAAUAAUAUUGGACUUGAAAUUGAACUUAAUUGGGACUCGGAAUGGGAAGGUCUAAACAGGAAGUCGCCUUCCGUUCUUUUGUUAUGUGAAGAAAGCAAAGACAAAAUAUACUAAAGCUUGAAAAUUAAAUUCUAAGAGAACUAGAAUUCAACAUCUAAGAUUUCUGAACCCCCUUUGACUGCAGGAGAAGAAGGGGGUUGUAUUUGGACUUUUCAAUCCUGCGGAAGUGAGUUUAAAAUAAAGCAAUUUUCCACCGCCCUGAACCAGGAGCGGGCUGUCAGAAUUGACGUUCUGAAGUUUAUCCAGCUCGACAGUUAGUUAAAAGAAGGGUAACAUUUUGAUUCUACUGUUGCCUCUUGAAUUUGGAAGGGUGAAUUUUGGAUAAAGUGUUUCUGGAAAAAGAAAGAUUGUUGCUGUUGCUUUUAUUCCUUUAAAAAAAAAAAAAUUCCAUCUAGUGGAAUUUAGUGAAAUUGCAACGCAGAGAGAUUAAAAGAGAAGGACUAUUGGACUAUUGUCGUGGGAAAGAAUUUUCUUUGACCUUGAAGGACAAUGCUAGUACAAAGGCUUGAACAAUUGUUCCUGGAAGGUUUUUCAAAACUAAGUGCCCAGCUGGACCAGAUGCGUCAGGAGACGACCUUGAUGAUGGAAGUUACCAGAGCACAGCAGCAAACAAAUGAAAUUCAGUUAAAGGCUAUACAAGCAUAUGAACCUGCUGUAGUGACGGAGGCUUCAGAGAUGGAGGGACCUUUGGACGGGCAAGAUCAGCCUUUGAACUUGAUAAAUGAACUUGGGACAAACCAGAUUCGGAAAGAUGAAAUGUGGUCAGAUUUGGAAAUGGGGGAUGGAUCGACCCCCUCCAUAUGGUUAUUUGGACCUUCCGAGUCUGGUGAUGGGCUAUCAGAGGAUUGGAGUAGCCGAAGUCUCCAAGCUUUGUGGAAAUUUGAAGUGGUAUUAUUUGCUGUCUGGCUUGGGCAAUGGGUUUGGGAUGGACUUGCUGCAAAGGGUCAAAAGCAUUUUCUUGCUGGAGCAUCCACGACUGGAAAGGAAUCAUCAACAAGAGUGGCGAAAGGGGCAAGAAAGAGACUUGAGGGCCUCGGAUACGAGACAACCAGGUUAAGGAGCCGGAUUAUCGAGGUUAAAAGGACUGACAAUCCCGGGUCCAGGGGAGGGGAGGUUGGAAGCUGACUGGACUGAAUUUGACUUAUUAUUUUUUCUUUUUUAUUUUUUAAUAUUGGGAAUGCUUACAAAUGUUUGAAGGAUGUUGAAUGAAAUUACAUGGCUUAAGUAAGGAUUGGUAAAUGAUUCGUAAAAGGUAAUGAUGCAAGAAUUUGGUAAAUAUUGAAUAUAAGCUAUGAGUUUUAAAGUUUUUAUAUGACAAGAGGGAAAAUAGAAUAAGGAAACGUAAUGACAGAUUGUUAUGAAAAAACAGAAAGGAUUUGCUGUAAAAAUUAAAAAUUAAGAAACAAAAGAGGGAGGAGGAGGAAGUCUAGAAAGGAAGUCACUAGAGAUUGUAAAGGACUUUAUAUUUUUGUUUUUCUGUUUCUCUUUUUUUUUCUUUGCGGCUGGGUUUUCUUUUCUUUUUUGUUUAUGUACUAUUUUUGUUUUUUGUAUCCUCAAAUUUUUUUUGGAAAUUUUUGUUGUUAUUCUUUGAAAAUUUAAUAAAUAUCAAUUAU
rnacentral:lncRNA from 1 species